AGAAGAUAGAUAGAUAGAUAAUGGGCAGAGGUCUGUGAAGAGAGGGGUCGUGAGGGAGGAAAGAGCCUCUUCAGGAGAAGGAGGCUGCCACUGUGUGAAUUAGAUGAGGAAAUAAGAAUCUCCGUGAUGAGAAGCCUCCAUGCCAAUGAAAUAACCAUCUUUUGUUUCAGGAAUCAUAGAUUUGGUAAAGCUGUGUCUGGAUUUGUACCUCUUCAGUAAAAGGUCACAUAUACCCUGCAUCAUCCCUCCCCAAAUCCCACCCCCCAACAGAAGACUAACAGGUCCGGGAGAAGAGUGCACGAAAUGCUUUGUACGAGGUGCAAGCCAAUCAAUCAUCCACCUGAGCACUCUGAAGUGAUACAGCCUGGACACAUAUUUACCUUCUCAGGCAGGUCUGUAUCUUUACCCUCUACGGAGACUUCCGCCCCCCGCCCACCUCUCCUCCGUUCUCUAGUGUUUCCGGACCAGGUGCCCUUACAGGAGCGUCUGCAGGCAUCCUUGAUUUGUAAGCAAGUCCCACUUUUGGAUGCCGUGGCGAUUACAGCCGUGCACCGCGAUCUGAUUAUGCCUAAUGACUCAUCCGUCAAAAAUACUAGUAGCAGGAAUUCUUUUCAUCUGUGCUCUCAAGGUGUCCUCCAUCUCCAUUGACUCUCACACACCGCUGUCCGCUGAGGCCGAAAUGCGAGACUGUUGGGAUGCUCCAUUAAGCUGUCGUUGUGUCGCAUCACAGCACGAGAAGUCGCUACACUUGUGCGGAGCCUG